GGGCGGUUAGCUCAACGGUAGAGCGCCUGCCUUACACGCAGGAUGUUACAGGUUCAAAUCCUGUACCGCCCA
rfam:Oscillatoriales cyanobacterium TSR001 contig_38, whole genome shotgun sequence.